GACGUAGGGCGCAAGCGUUGUCCGGAUUUAUUGGGCGUAAAGAGCUCGUAGGCGGCUCGUUGCGUCGGCUGUGAAAACCCGCAGCUCAACUGUGGGCUUGCAGCCGAUACGGGCGGGCUGGAGUUCGGUAGGGGAGACUGGAAUUGCUGGUGUAGCGGUGAAAUGCGUAGAGAUCAGCAGGAAUACCCGUGGCGAAGGCGGCCCCCUGGGCCGAACCUGACGCUGAGGCGCGAAGGCUAGGGGAGCGAACGGGG
rnacentral:rRNA from 1 species